UCUUCUUACCUACUAAUCAAUACAAAUUAUACUAAUCUAGAUAAUAAUUCAAGCUCCUUAGUAAGUCUACUCCUCUAAGAUCCUUUGUCGAAUACUUCUUGUAUGAUUCUUCUGACAAUGCUCUUGGGAUCGGCUUGUAUAGCCUAGAAAAUUCUUUGAUUUCUCUUAAUUCAGAGGUGAUAAACACAUGCAGCCAAGGUCAUCCUAUAGAGCUCCGCACUUGAAAUUCUUCCCUUAGCAUUAACUUCAGCCCAUUUCAAUUCAUCUGGCCAAGUUAUAGCUUUUCUAGCAAUUCUUUGCUACUGCAAGAGCUUGUCCCACACCUGUGCAGAUAUAUCACAGCGAAAAAAGAGAUGGGAAAAUAUGAUAGUGUGUAUGAAAAAAGUGAACUUGUUGUACUGAAAAAGAGAGUUAAGAGAAGGAGAAAAUCUAAAUCUCCAA